CCAGUUCAGGCCUGAUGCAAGAUCUUCUGCAAGCUCUUGUUCCUUCAGUAGACUCUGACAGCGUUGAAGAUGAGGGCUGUUCCAUGAGCCUGAGUUCAAGUGAUCAGGUGAGUGCGGCUGCUGCUGACCUGCAGUGGACAUGUAGCAUGAAAGAGAAGUAGGCCUUUGCUGAUCUAAGUUACUCAAAUUGGGGGAUGAUGUGUUACAAAGCAUAGCCUAGCCGAACCUGGAAGAAUCAGUGACCCAAGCCACUGCAGUGACAAAACUGGGUCCUGAAUCCUCUACGCCACAAGAGAACUCUGGGAAUAUUAUUUUUUUAUGGGUGAUGUUCCAGAUAUGGCAGGAUGGAAUGGAAAUAAAAGGGCCACUUAAGAAAUGAUUAUAAUAGUUCUUGUCAGAGGAUAAGUGGAAAGGUAGACAGAAAGGAGGAUGGAGUAGCAUCUAGGAGAGCAGAGGAUAAGGAGGAAGAAGUGACCUGAGCAUGAGUAGCUAAAAAGAAGAGUGGGGAGGUUUUCUCCAGUGCCUGUUUUGGUCUCUGGUGACCAUCCAUGAAGCUCUUGUGGAAGAGUGGCAAGAAUGAAAGCUGCAUCGGUUAGUGUCCUGGAAGGAAACAGAUGGACACUCAAAAAAGUUGGACUGUAAAUAAUUUCAUGAAGGGACUCUAUAAGGUGUAGGCAGGAUUAAGGGAGCCAGAAAGAGAUAAUGAGUCACUCAGAGACUCACGAUUGCUGGAAGCUGUUUCCAUCCCCAUGCCUGAAGGAGCAAGAAAUGCGGUGGUGACACUGGAGCCAGGGAGGAACUCCUCCCACCACGAACUGGGGCUAUGGAAGGACACAGCCCCUGUCAGACCUUCAUGAGGCUUCCAUGGAGGGUCAGAAGCAGCUUCUACCUCAUCCCACAGUCCUCUCACCCUCUUGUUGCCUGCUCUGCCUCCCACUGGGUGAAUCAACCAGAAACCCCAGGGCAAGGGAGCCCAGGACGGGCAGAGAAUGAAUCUGGAGAGAGGGGGACAAAUGGAAAAAUGACUCACUUGGAGGAAGGAGGAAGUAAAAGAGGCAAGGAGACAGAGAGGAAAUGACAGCUAAAGAAGCAGCCUAUUUUCUGAGUAAAGAAGAGGGAUGAAGGAAGAACAAUGGUGUCAGGCAAAAGUGUUUUCUAGGUACAAGAGACCUCAGCAUACUUUAAACUGAGACCCAGUUUACCUAAACCACACCACCGACUUCAUGAUGACCUGUUACUCCUGGCUCACUUUGCAUUGGAAAGUUUCUGUAAUUUCAGGUGCCUCGAAAGAUACCAAGGACAAAGUGAAAGGGGCAGCACAGUCACAGCUCAACAACAUUACAAGCUCCUGUUGACUCUAACUAUCCAUCUUUCACACAAGAGAAAGAUAAUCUUUUAAGAAUAGGAAGACCUUCAGUCAUAGUAACACAAAGACUACUGUAUUGCAUUCCCUGGCUCCCCAGAGGCUGGCUGGAUCCAGUUCAAAUAAUUUCUUUCCAGAGUUGCCGUUGCCAGGAGGAUUUUGAAUAGCAAACAGUGGUGGUCAAUCUAGGUGAAGCUGCCUGUGCUUUUCAUCCCUUCUUCCUGGGCAAUUCGGAGAAAUCAGCAUCUGACUUUCCAGCAACAGGCAACUGUAGGCAACCAGCGCACUGUGUUCAUUUUAAAGGCUUAGCUGCCCUCUGCAACAUCAUUUAUCAGGACAGUUCAAAAGGAAGGAUUCUCUUUCUUGCAGUUGGAAUGGCAUGCAGUGAUCAUCUGACAAGCAAGCAGAAUCUGGACUGCUAGUGGGUAGUUAAGUAAAAGAGACAGGACAGACAGCUGCUUUCAGAAGUGAAACUGUGCAGAAAAGGGAAAAGUGAUAAAUGGUCUUAGAGACUCAGACGAACUUUGUCAGGAAAAUGAGGAGUUAGGCUUCCAAAGUUCAGCCUCCUCAGUGGUUCAUCACCAAAGACAGGGCCACAGAGUACAGUUGAGCAGGUUGUGCAUUGCACAGAAUCAACCCUCCAUCCUUAUCUACCUGCACUCCUGUCAAGGAGGCAGAAAUGGCUGAAAUGGCUGAAAUCCAGCAUGUUUUCCAGUCACCAUGCCAUGCAAGGUAGCACUUAGGUACUACCUGCUUCCAUGUGGUUUCCCUUUUGUGGUUUCCAAGAGGAAGGAGUGAACUUUUCUUUGCAUGAAGAUGCUAUUCACCUGCCAAGCCAUGUUCCUGGAAACUGCACCACUCGGAGAUGGAGGGAUGAGUCUAUUUCUGAUUCUGACAGAGAUGUUAUAUAUUCUGACAGAAACCCUGGCCAAAUUCUUUCUAGUUGCUAAUGAUGCAUUACUCUCCAUGCCUUGACUGAAAGAGCAUCACAUAGUAUUUGGAGCAUGAGUGGGAGAAAAUCAGAAAAGAUGAUAAUAGUAAUAACACCAACAAUCCUUGAUUUGGAUCAGACCUUAAUGUUUACAAAAAGCACUUUCCAGAGUUCCUGUCAUGGCUCAGUGUUUAACGAAUCCGACUAGAAUCCAUGAAGUUGCGGGUUCGACCCCUAGCCUGGGAACCUCCAUAUGCCACGGGUGCAGCCCUAAAAAGACAAAAAGACACACCGAAUAAAAUAAAAGCUUCAAGUAGUUUAAAAAAAAUUUUUUAAAAGCACUUUCCUAUAUGGGAUCUUAUUCAAGCCUCAGGACAACACCGGGAUCAAAUUGGGUAAAGGUAUUCUCCUCCACUUAACAACUGGGGGCAACCAGAAAGCAGGGACUGAAACCUCAGUUUUCUGAUUUCAAUUCUCUGCUCUUUUCCCAGUAUAAACCCUGCAAAAUCUACACAUUUAGAAAAGCUUCUAGGUAUUGAGUUGGACAGCCAGCACCUAUUCACUUGUCUCCUGGGAAACAGAACAGUAAUUUUCCCCUGGGGAUCAGCAGCCAUCCUCAAUCUACUUUCUGCAAAGGAGGGACAGACUUUUAACUCAAAUCUGCCUAUUCUGGGCAUUACCAUAGGGAUUGGCUCAGAAAGGUCAUGUGAUACAACCAGAGCCAAUGAGAGGCAAGGAGAUAUUUGCAAGGAAAUUUGUGAACUUGUGUCCUCCCACAGACGCCCCAAACGCCCAGUUUGGGAUGAUUUUCUCUGGAAAAAAAACUUAAGAACUGGCCAAGCAAUCCAUUCGUGUCUUGCACGCAAAAGGGAAACCACAUGGAAGCAGAUGCAAAAUCAACUGUUUGCACCAAGGUUCUGCCAUGACCAGCAUAGAAGCUCCUGGUAUCCACUGAGCAAAUGGAGGAUAUUGGCACCAGGUGCAGUGGAGAGAAGUGCCAAGAUCAUUCAGGUCCUGUGUCCUGGGAGGUGAAGGAUUGCCUGAGACAGCAGCACACUGAAGCAGAUAGCUGAUGACUAUUAAAACACACUUCUUGAUUUACAGUCACCUGUCAGGCUGCAUCUCUCCUGGUCCUUCUGGACUCCUGGAACUGAGAAAUUCAUGUGCCUGGCACCUUCUUCAAUGCAAUCUCUACCCAUCUGAUGAAGUUCUCAGACCAUUGUUUCCUGGACGAGCUGUUAGAAUUUUUAGGCCAGAGGGGCUUCCUGGAUCUGCUCAUCUUCCUGAGUGGGAUAUUGAACAAUUGUUUGCCACCUCAAAAAAUCAGCAUCUUAAAUAAAAAAGAACAAAUGAAUCUCAAAACCAUUAUCCUGGGUGAAAAAGGCAGACACAAAAGAAUACCUAUGAUUUUGUAUAUUGGAAAUUCUAGAACUGGCAAAAUUUAUCUGUGGUGACAGAAAGUGGGUCAGCGAUAUGAUUGCUGAGGACCAGGACGCAGGCAGCUAUAGAAAGGCAUGAGAAAACUUUGGGAGUUAAAACUUCCCACGUCUUGAUUGUGGAAGUGAUUACAUCAGUGUAUAGAGUUGUCAAUACCCACUAAGUA